rnacentral:rRNA from 1 species
CGACCUGACUGCGGAGACAUUA